rnacentral:rRNA from 1 species
GACGAACGCUGGCGGCGUGCUUAACACAUGCAAGUCGAGCGGAGCGGCGAACGGGUGAGUAACGCGUGAGUAAAUGCCCCCCUCUCUGGGACAACAGUUGGAAACGGCCGCUAAUACCGGAUAGUGGGGGAUGACUCGCGUCCUAUCGGCUUGUUGGGGGGGACGUGGCGUACCAAGGCGACGACGGGUAGCCGGCCUGGGAGGGCGACCGGCCACAUUGGGCUGAGUAGCGGCCCAAACUCCUACGGGGGGCAGCGGUGGGGAAUAUUGCACAAUGGGGGAAACCCUGAUGCAGCAGCGCCGCGUGCGGGAUGACGGCUUUCGGGUUGUAAACCGCUUUCAGCCAUGACGCGGUAGUGACAGAAGAAGCACCGGCUAACUACGUGCCAGCAGCCGCGGUAAUUC